UACGAAGGGGGCUAGCGUUGUUCGGAAUCACUGGGCGUAAAGCGCACGUAGGCGGAUUUUUAAGUCAGGGGUGAAAUCCCGAGGCUCAACCUCGGAACUGCCUUUGAUACUGGAGAUCUUGAGUCCGGAAGAGGUAAGUGGAACUGCGAGUGUAGAGGUGAAAUUCGUAGAUAUUCGCAAGAACACCAGUGGCGAAGGCGCUUUCUGGCCUAUAACUGACGCUGAGGCGCGAAAGCGUGGGGAGCAAACAGG
rnacentral:rRNA from 1 species